UGCGUAGGCGGUCUUUCAAGCCAGAAGUGAAAGGCUACGCUCAACCGUAGUAAGCUUUUGGAACUGUAGGACUUGAGUGCAGGAGAGGAGAGUAGAAUUCCUAGUGUAGCGGUGAAAUGCGUAGAUAUUAGGAGGAAUACCAGUAGCGAAGGCGGCUCUCUGGACUGUAACUGACGCUGAGGCACGAAAGCGUGGGGAGCGAACA
rnacentral:rRNA from 1 species